CUCUCAACCUCCAUGCGGGGUUAUGGUGCUUCAUUCCUGGGUACCUGAGCUCCAUGAGUCCCCCUGGUUGUCUGGAGGUCCAUGGGGGUGGUUCAUCUGCCCUCCAUGCGGGCUUUCAGUGCCCUAGCCCUGGGUAAAUGAGCUCCAUGAGUCCCCCUGGUUCUCUGGAGGUCCAUGGGGGUGGUUCAUCCAACCUCCAUGCGGGGUUAUGGUGCUUCAUUCCUGGGUACUUGAGCUCCAUAAGUCCCCCUGGUUCUCUGGAGGUCCAUGGGGGUGGUUCAUCUGCCCUCCAUGCGGGCUUUCAGUGCCCUAGCCCUGGGUAAAUGAGCUCCAUGAGUCCCCCCUGGUUGUCUGGAGGUCCAAGGGGUCUGUCUCCCAACCUCCAUGCGGGGUUAUGGUGCUCCAUUCCUUGGCAAAGCCCCCCCAGAGCAGGGGGUCAUCAGAGGAGGUUGUGCCUGGUUUCGUUUAUUCUUCCAAGUGUGUGUGAUGACCCGAGCCCACCUUUGGCCCAAUAAAUGCGCGGGACCCCCCCUUAAAGCCCCCGUGAAUGUUGGUUCCCAUUUGGCAUCAAUGCAUUUGAAAGUGAUACCCGGAUGGCAAGUCCUGCAGCUCUGCGUCCCAAGCUGGUAUCGAACCAGGCUCUGCCGGGUGGGAGGCACCAGCCUUAACCAUUGUGCCACGGGGGAAGCCAGGGUCAGUGUGCCCAGAUGGCAGAGCAUUUAUAGUGCCGAAAACCCAAGUGGCAAGCCAUGUCCACAAAGGGACCCUUACCAGGGGCACGAGACUCUGGGCCGUGCGGGCUGGUGGGUGUAGUCCGCGUAGGGGUGCUUAAGUGUGGGGUACCCAGGUUCGGAGGGUCCUUAAGUCUUGGUCCCCCAAGUGGCAAGCCCCCAUGGACAUAAACACCCAGGUGGCAAGCCCCAUGGUGCCCUGUCCCUGGGUAAAGGAGCUCCAUGAGUCCCCCCCCUGGUUCUCUGGAGGUCCAAGGGGUCUGUCACCCAACCUCCAUGCGGGCUUUGGGUGCCCUAUCCCUGGGUAAGUGAGCUCCAUGAUCUGCCCUGGUCCCCAAGUGGCAAGCCCCAUGUUCACGAAUACCCAGGUGGCAACCCCCAUGUUCUCGAAUACCCAGGUGGCAACACCCCCAUAGGCAUAAACACCCAUUUGGCAAGCCCCAUGGAGUGAAAAUGUGACAAAGUGUCAGUUGUAUGGAUAAGAAUACCCAGUUGGCAAGCCCCCAUUGACGGACUACCCAAGUGGCAAGUUCGGGUCCGGUACCCAAGUGGCAGUUUUCCCCAUUGAGAGAAACACCGAGAUGGCAACGAUGCCCUCUGGUGGCAGAAACACGUUACUACAGCGAAUCUUGCCACGAGGGAGCAAAAUCCAUGAUUUUUGUGAAAAGUUUGUCCUGUUUGGGGGUCUCUCACGGGGAGACCGGGGGUCUUAAAAAUCGGUAGGGUGGGUCACGGGGGUAACGAGGGAUAACCGGAUUUUUAGAGAUUGACCCCGUAACCCUACGACCCAGGGUUAGACCUCCAGAAUUUUUAGAAAAAGGCCCUUUUUUCCCCCCAAAUGUACACU